UUAACUCUCAAUCAUGUUAUAGUAAAAGAGGAAUUAGAUAUAUCUUGUAAAUAGCGUGACAUAAUAUAUUGGUAUAUGAUUCUUCAUAAAGAGCCAAUAACUCGUCAUGGAUCUCAUUAUCGGUGGGGGCGACUGAAGAACUUCCUUUUAUACUUGCACUACAUGCAACAGUUCUUUCAGACAAUUGAUCAGCAUCAUCAUCUUCAUGUGUAUAUUGUGGGAUGAUUUCACUCUUUCUCUACAUCAUAAAAAUAACAGGAACACACAACAAAAUCAACAAUAUAUAUAUAAUAUUCGCGUAUAC
rnacentral:lncRNA from 1 species